GUCUGCGUGGAGCCGACCUUGAAAUACCACCCUUUAAUGUUUGAUGUUCUAACGUGGACCCGUAAUCCGGGUUGCGGACAGUGUCUGGUGGGUAGUUUGACUGGGGCGGUCUCCUCCUAAAGAGUAACGGAGGAGCACGAAGGUUGGCUAAUCCUGGUCGGACAUCAGGAGGUUAGUGCAAUGGCAUAAGCCAGCUUGACUGCGAGCGUGACGGCGCGAGCAGGUGCGAAAGCAGGUCAUAGUGAUCCGGUGGUUCUGAAUGGAAGGGCCAUCGCUCAACGGAUAAAAGGUACUCCGGGGAUAACAGGCUGAUACCGCCCAAGAGUUCAUAUCGACGGCGGUGUUUGGCACCUCGAUGUCGGCUCAUCACAUCCUGGGGCUGAAGUAGGUCCCAAGGGUAUGGCUGUUCGCCAUUUAAAGUGGUACGCGAGCUGGGUUUAGAACGUCGUGAGACAGUUCGGUCCCUAUCUGCCGUGGGCGCUGGAGAACUGAGGGGGGCUGCUCCUAGUACGAGAGGACCGGAGUGGACGCAUCACUGGUGUUCGGGUUGUCAUGCCAAUGGCACUGCCCGGUAGCUAAAUGCGGAAGAGAUAAGUGCUGAAAGCAUCUAAGCACGAAACUUGCCCCGAGAUGAGUUCUCCCUGAGACUUAGAGUCUCCUGAAGGAACGUUGAAGACGACGACGUUGAUAGGCCGGGUGUGUAAGCGCAGCGAUGCGUUGAGCUAACCGGUACUAAUGAACCGUGAGGCUUAACCUUACA
rnacentral:rRNA from 1 species